rnacentral:rRNA from 1 species
UACGUAGGGUGCAAGCGUUAUCCGGAAUUAUUGGGCGUAAAGAGCUCGUAGGCGGUUUGUCGCGUCUGCUGUGAAAACCCGAGGCUCAACCUCGGGCCGGCAGUGGGUACGGGCAGACUAGAGUGCGGUAGGGGAGAUUGGAAUUCCUGGUGUAGCGGUGAAAUGCGCAGAUAUCAGGAGGAACACCGGUGGCGAAGGCGGGUCUCUGGGCCGUAACUGACGCUGAGGAGCGAAAGCGUGGGGAGCGAACAGG